AUUGAACGCUGGCGGCAGGCCUAACACAUGCAAGUCGAACGAGUGGCGGACGGGUGAGUAAUGUCUGGGAAACUGCCUGAUGGAGGGGGAUAACUACUGGAAACGGUAGCUAAUACCGCAUACCAUCGGAUGUGCCCAGAUGGGAUUAGCUAGUAGGUGGGGUAAAGGCUCACCUAGGCGACGAUCCCUAGCUGGUCUGAGAGGAUGACCCGCCACACUGGAACCUGUAACAGGUCCCUACUCCUACGGGAGGCAGGAGGGGGGAAUAUUGGAAAAUGGGCGCAAGCCUGAUGCAGCCCUGCCGGGUGGAUUAAGAAGGCCUUCGGGUUGUAAAGCACUUUUAGCGGGGAGGCGUUACCCGCAGAAGAAGGACCGGCCAACUCCGUGCCAGCAGCCGCGGUAAUUC
rnacentral:rRNA from 1 species